UACGGAGGGGGGCUAGCGUUGUUCGGAAUUACUGGGCGUAAAGCGCACGUAGGCGGACUGUUAAGUCGGGGGGUGAAAUCCUGGGGGCUCAACCUCAGAAUUGCCUCCGAUACUGGCAGUCUCGAGUGCGGGAGAGGUGAGUGGAAUUCCCAGUGUAGAGGUGAAAUUCGUAGAUAUUGGGAAGAACACCAGUGGCGAAGGCGGCUCACUGGCCCGUAACUGACGCUGAGGUGCGAAAGCGUGGGGAGCAAACAGG
rnacentral:rRNA from 1 species